CUGCGNGUGAAGCGGCAAAAGCUCAAAUUUGAAAUCUGGCGUCCUCUGRGCCGUCCGAGUUGUAAUUUGGAGGAGCGUCUUCGGGAGCGGCACCGUCCUAAGUUCUUUGGAACAGGACGUCAUAGAGGGUGAGAAUCCCGUGCCUGGGCGGUUGAUCCGUUCCCAUGCGAAGUGCUUCCGACGAGUCGAGUUGUUUGGGAAUGCAGCUCAAAAUGGGUGGUAAAUUUCAUCUAAAGCUAAAUAUUGGCGAGAGACCGAUAGCGCACAAGUAGAGUGAUCGAAAGAUGAAAAGCACUUUGAAAAGAGAGUUAAAAAGUACGUGAAAUUGUUGAAAGGGAAGCGCUUGAGAUCAAACUCGGCCUCUGGUGAUCCGCUGGGCUUCUGUCCGGUGAAACUUUGCCAUUGGGGCCGGGCCAGCAUCGGUUCUGACGGUGGGAAAAACGGCCGGGGAAUGUGGCUUCCUCUCUCGAGGGAGUGUUAUAGACCUGGCCUUCGAUACCGCCAGUCAGGACCGAGGACCGCGCUUUCGGGCUAGGAUGCUGGCGUAAUGGUCUUAAGCGACCCG
rnacentral:rRNA from 1 species